rnacentral:lncRNA from 1 species
GAGACGUGUUAAACCUUUUGUACCACUGUCGACAACCAAAAUGCUAUAUAAUGCUAUUAUACAGCCUUAUUUCGAUUAUUGCAGCUCGUUGUGGGAUAAUUGUGGAAUUGGGCUCAAAGAUAAGUUGCAAAAAUACCAAAAUCGUGCUGCAAGAGUAAUUACUGGGGCAACUUACGAUAUUCAGUCAUCUGAGUUACUCAUUAAUCUAAAUUGGAAACCUCUAGAAGAAAGACGAAAUUAUCUUAAAUCUAUUUUCAUCUAUAAAGUUCUGAAUGGCCACACCGCACCAAAUCUUAAAGAAGCAUUUCAUUUUAAUAAUGAAAGACAUGAUACUUACAAUCUUAGAAAUACGGAUACUGAUUUAGCACCAUCUAUGCCGAAAAAAGAAUUCGGCAAGAGGUGCUUCAGUUAUAAUGGUGCCUUGCAUUGGAAUAAUCUUCCCCAUGAGGCAAAAAUUGCUGAAUCUCUAAGCUCUUUCAAGUCGAUAUUGAAACAAAGAAUGAGUUUAAAUUUGCUUGUGUAUAAUCGCGCAGCUAAAAUCAAUUGUAUUUAUUUAUUUUGUUAUAUUUUGUAUUUCCUGUAUAUAGUUAACUUUUUGUAAAUAGGUAAUUUCACGCCCCUCGUGGAAACCAGCCUUCCAACGGCUGUUGAGGCUAGCGUGGUCUAAAUAAAGUUUUG